rnacentral:rRNA from 1 species
GGGGAAUAUUGCACAAUGGGCGAAAGCCUGAUGCAGCGACGCCGCGUGCGGGAUGAAGGCCUUCGGGUUGUAAACCGCUUUUAAUUGGGAGCAAGCGAGAGUGAGUGUACCUUUUGAAUAAGCACCGGCUAACUACGUGCCAGCAGCCGCGGUAAUACGUAGGGUGCAAGCGUUAUCCGGAAUUAUUGGGCGUAAAGAGCUCGUAGGCGGUUUGUCACGCCUGGUGUGAAAGUCCAUCGCUUAACGGUGGAUCUGCGCCGGGUACGGGCAGGCUAGAGUGCAGUAGGGGAGAUUGGAAUUCCCGGUGUAACGGUGGAAUGUGUAGAUAUCGGGAAGAACACCAAUGGCGAAGGCAGAUCUCUGGGCUGUUACUGACGCUGAGGAGCGAAAGCAUGGGGAGCGAACAGGAUUAGAUACCCUGGUAGUCCAUGCCGUAAACGGUGGAUGCUGGAUGU